AUUCCAGCUCCAAUAGCGUAUAUUAAAGUUGUUGCAGUUAAAAAGCUCGUAGUUGGAUCUCGGGUCCAGGCUUGCGGUCCGCCUCGCGGCGGUCACUGCUCGUCCUGGCCUACCUGCCGGUGUGUCCCUUGGUGCUCUUGACUGAGUGUCUCGGGCGGCCGGAACGUUUGCUUUGAAAAAAUUAGAGUGUUCAAAGCAGGCUUGUCGCCUGAAUAAUGGUGCAUGGAAUGAUGGAAUAGGACCUCGGUUCUAUUUUGUUGGUUUUCGGAGCUCGAGGUAAUGAUUAAGAGGGACUGACGGGGGCAUUCGUACUGCGGUGUUAGAGGUGAAAUUCUUGGAUCGCCGCAAGACGAACUACAGCGAAAGCAUUUGCCAAGCAUGUUUUCAUCG
rnacentral:rRNA from 1 species